ensembl:lncRNA
CAAUGCUUGAAAAGGGUAAAUAGACACCAGGAGGGCAGGGGCCAACCUCACGGCCCGUGAGGCGCUGAACCGUGCUGAGGCACUUUAAGACCUGCAGUGCCCCACCCCAACUGUUAAUGAGCUCAUUAACAGCCAUUGCCCCUCUCUCCCUCAUAUCCAGCUCGGGGCAGUGGGGUUCAGAGUGAGGAGGGAUUACUUCGCUGUGAAGAGCUGUGUGGACGGGAGUCUGCCCAGGAGCCCAGGUUCUUGGAAACAUUCAAGGUCAGGCUGGACCAAGGCCUUUUCCUCCCCGUUCUUCCCUUGUGAGACCCCACCUGCAGUACUAUGUUCAGUUCUGGGACCCUCAGCAGAAGAAAGAUGCAGAGGUGACGGAAGUGGUACAGAGGAAGACCACAAAGAUUCAGUUCUGGUUAUAAAAGCACACUUCCAGCCGUUUCUAAGACAAAUGGAUCAGGGCUCAAUUCUUCCCACUUUGAAAAAGGAAGUACAUCCAACUGCAGCACCAACAGUGAUCACAGCUCUCCUUAAUAUGAAUCUCUGG